CGAGCGAGGCGGCCCGCAAGGGCCAGUCGAGCGGCGAACGGGUGAGUAACGCGUGGAUAACCUGCCCUGAGGUGGGGAAUAACCCGGGGAAACUCGGGCUAAGACCGCAUGAUACCGAGAGGUCAAAGAGGGCUCGCAAGGGCUCUUGCCACAGGAGGGGUCCGCGUUCGAUUAGCUAGUUGGUAGGGUAAUGGCCUACCAAGGCGACGAUCGAUAGCCGGCCUGAGAGGGUGAUCGGCCACACUGGAACUGAGACACGGUCCAGACUCCUACGGGAGGCAGCAGUGGGGAAUUUUGCGCAAUGGGCGAGAGCCUGACGCAGCAACGCCGCGUGGAGGAUGAAGGUCUUUGGAUUGUAAACUCCUGUCAGCGGGGAAAAAGGGACCCGACCUAAUACGUCGGGAACUUGAUUGUACCCGCAGAGGAAGCCCCGGCUAACUCUGUGCCAGCAGCCGCGGUAAUACAGAGGGGGCAAGCGUUAUUCGGAAUUAUUGGGCGUAAAGGGCGCGUAGGCGGCUUGGCAAGUCAAAGGUGAAAUCCCUCGGCUCAACUGAGGAACUGCCUUUGAAACUGCCUGGCUUGAGGCCGGGAGGGGGUAGCGGAAUUCCCAGUGUAGCGGUGAAAUGCGUAGAUAUUGGGAGGAACACCAGUGGCGAAGGCGGCUACCUGGACCGGUUCUGACGCUGAUGCGCGAAAGCGUGGGUAGCAAACAGGAUUAGAUACCCUGGUAGUCCACGCUGUAAACGAUGGGUGCUCGGUG
rnacentral:rRNA from 1 species